UUACGGCCACAUCUUGUCGAAAUACCGGUUCCCUUACGAUCACUAAAAUCAAGCAACGUUGAACUUGGUCAGUAUUUAGAUGGGUGAGCAUUUGGUAAUAUCAGGUGCUGUAAG